rnacentral:misc_RNA from 1 species
AAAGUCGUAACAAGGUUUCCGUAGGUGAACCUGCGGAAGGAUCAUUAACACAAUAAUAUCCAAAACCUUUUGGAUCAACCCAACCUUAGUGAACCGUUUUUCCCUUUUCUUAAUUCAAUUUUAACAAACUCAAUCUGAUUUGUAAUAUGUCUGAUCUUUUUUCUCAGAAGAAAUUCCGAGAAAAUAAAUUCUAACGUAAUACAACUCUUAACAACGGAUAUCUUGGCUCUC